GGCGGACGGGUGAGUAAUGUCUGGGAAACUGCCUGAUGGAGGGGGAUAACUACUGGAAACGGUAGCUAAUACCGCAUAACGUCGCAAGACCAAAGAGGGGGACCCUCGGGCCUCUUGCCAUCGGAUGUGCCCAGAUGGGAUUAGCUUGUUGGUGGGGUAACGGCUCACCAAGGCGACGAUCCCUAGCUGGUCUGAGAGGAUGACCAGCCACACUGGAACUGAGACACGGUCCAGACUCCUACGGGAGGCAGCAUG
rnacentral:rRNA from 1 species